rnacentral:rRNA from 1 species
UGUGGUUAGGGGUGAAAGGCCAAUCAAACUGGGAAAUAGCUCGUACUCCCCGAAAUGCUUUUAGGAGCAGCGUGCGUAUUGAGUCUGUCAGAGGUAGAGCUACCGAUAGGACUAGGGGGAGUCAAAUCCUACCAAAUCCUGACGAACUCCGAAUGCUGACAGAUAUGACGUGCAGUGAGGGCAAGGGUGCUAAGGUCCUUGUCCGAGAGGGAAAGAACCCAGACCUUCAGCUAAGGUCCCCAAGUGUAUACUAAGUUGAACUAAGGCGGUCCAGUUGCAUAGACAGCCAGGAUGUUGGCUUGGAAGCAGCCAUUCAUUUAA